GCAAAUGACAAACUAGAGCUUUUCUUGAUUUCAUAGUGUGCCAGUAAGGCAAAAUUACAGCCCAUCUUCCUGAAUAAGGGCAGAGAUCAUCUCUCCAGUCAGCACUGGCCCCGUUUCACACUGUCUCUUGCUUUUCUGAGCAGACGGUGGACCAUUUCAGGUCACUAACCACCUGAAAUUUCGGGGCUUUAUGAAUUCUAUGGGCUUGUUAAGUAGUCACUUGAAUGUAAGAGCUGCCACUGAAGCAGCCAGAGAAAGCGACAGGGAGACAGAGGCGCCGCCAUGCAGCACUAAGCUGUGCCAUUAACGCAGUCGGCCUCGUGAAGCUUCGCCUUUACAAAACGGAGAAGAGAGCUUGGACCGCGGCCGCCGCGCAGCCAGGGCAGGGCGCGCCUCGCCGCUCCCUCAGGCGGCCGCCAGACACACAGCGGCCGUUCUGCGGUCCCCGGCGGGCCGGUGGCGCCAUGGGGGAGCGCGGCGAUUCCGAAGGGCUGGAGAUGGAGCUGGGGCGGGAGAGGAGGAGGCAGCAAAUGCUUGAAAAUUCAAUAUCUGAAUUGAGAAGAACAGUAACGGAACUGGAGAAAAAGCUUAGUGGUGUUGAAGAUGAAGGUAAUGAGUGGAAAACCAGAUAUGAGAUGCAAGUAGAAUUGAACAGACAGCUGCAAAGGCAAAUUAAUAUUCUUAAAGACAAGGUGGAGCUUAUUCAUGGAAAUCCAACAGAUAAACUGGCCAUUGUUCGCAUCUUUGAUCAAAUGCCUGUGGGCUCCUUAAAGGAGGUUCUUGAACAACUAAAAGAAGAGAAGAAAAGACUCCAGAAUCAGCUAAAAGAUUAUGAACUUAGACUGGAACAAGAGGCAAAGGCUUACCACAAAGCUAAUGAUGAGCGGCGCAUGUACCUUUCAGAGAUUUUGCAGACCUCAGCUAUGCUUAAAACUGUUGAAAAGCAAAGAACAGAUGCUCUGACAAGCAAGGGAGAAAAGCACACACUGAGAGGGAGAUGCAGCGUUCCGCAGCGUCUGAAGAUUGUUAAUCCCCAAAAAGGAACAAUUAAAAAGACUGCAGGAGUGAUGCAGCUUCCAAAACUAAAAUCCUGAUUUAAUAUACCUUUUUUCUUUAACUGAAAAUUUCUGAAUUGAAAAUGAAUGUGUAUAUGCUUUAUUACACCAAACACAGACCAGCACAUCUUCUUGGCAGCAGUAGUGUAAGUUCCUCUUUGCCUGAUGGAAUUGUUCUUGUAGUUGCCAUUUUUUGUUCUGGUGAUCUCUGACUCUUUUCGUGCUAGUUCUUAUCAGUGAUUCUAGUAUCUGGGAGCUGGGAUCUUUGGAGAACACUUAGUCAAUCUGGUGGAACAGGUAGUACUGUUGAGUCAGUAUGAUUUUUGACAUCUCAGUCAAGGAAAAACGAAUGCAGAGUGAUAUAACCUGAAAUGUAAUCUCUCUACCCAAAAAGUAAAUCUCUGCAGUAAUUCCGUCCAAGAGCAUCUGGUAUAGCAGCUAAGAAAAUAUCCAAGUAGUCUGAUGUUGGUACAGCUAACUGUGCCUUUCAUUUGACCAGCACAUAGUCAGUGCCUUACAAUAGAGUUCCUUUCCAACAUAAAGUUAUUCUUUUUUCCAUUACUCCAGCAGAGGGACAAAACACCUCCAGCUUUUUAAAAAGUUGGCUUGCUGUAAAACCUUUUGUUUGCAUAUUUUAGAAGCAUUCUGUCAUGUGUAGCUAUUACAGGCACUAGUUACAGAAAGAAAUGAAAGAAAAAGUCAGCGUUUUUAAUCAAGAUGCUUUAGAACAUGUCUUGUGAGGGGGGAUUGUUGCUUUUAAGCAUUACAUACACAUUACAUUUCCUGAUAUUGGUAUGUUGCUAUUUGCAGUUUGAAUUCUCCCGUGGAUGUUUUUAUGGGUUCCAUAAAAUUCUUUAUGUAUUGUUCAGUGGUGCUGAUCCAUAUAUAUUUAUGGCCCAAAAUAGUACCAGUCUUUAAAAUAAUCUCUUCAGUGAACAGUAGGACUACUUUGUCUUUUCAUUCUUAAGAGUGCAAUUGUUGUAGUUUCAUUACCUACAGCAUUUUAGUCAUUAAACUUUCACAGAAUUCUUUUAAGUAGCAACAGAAAAAAUGUUUUGGUAAUGAAGCUUCAAGCUUCUGGGUUACAUCAUAAAAGCUCUUGGCAAAGCAAAUAUGAUUGAUUGACUGCCCUUUAUUAUUUUUAAGAGCAUCCCUAGCUCUUUGCAGAAUCUGGUAAAGCUUUUUUGCCUCUUUAAGAGCAGUACAAAUAGUUCCUUAUUACUGGCAGCAUUAAAGCGAGGCUGUAAUUAAACUCUUACAAAAAGAUCAAUGAUGCCAUUAUAAGAUCCAGGGAAAGAAGACCUGCAGUAUUGUACAGCAUACUCUGUAUGCAGAACUUGUUUUUCUCUUACAUAGUAUGAGAUUUAUUACAGUUAUUUCUAAUGUUACUCUGAUGCACGUGGUAUAAUUCUGUCCUAAGCAGGCUGGUCUGCACAGCACAGCUGAUGAGGGUUCCUGUUCCUGUUUUUACAUGGAAAGUUUCCAGAUUUUAUUUGUCACUGGGGAGAGAGAGAAAAAAUCACCAUAAUGGUUCUGUUGGCACAAAAGACAAGGACAUCUGCAGUAGCAAAGAAUAUCCAGUUCUUGGAUUCAUGCAGCAGACAUUACUGCUGCCUCUAAAUCAAAUGUUAGUCAAUGCAGUUGACUGUAGUCCUUGUAACACUUCACAGGAAUUGGAAACUUUGCACCAGGAUGACACAACAGCAAUUGUUCACAGCUGGGGUGUUAAUUGCUUACCUCAUGGGUAGUUCUUGCUGAGAUAACAAUUCUGAUGCUUAAAAAGAGGCAUUUGUUGAUAUCAUUGGUGCAAUAAUGACCUGAGGAGAGGAGCAGACUGUGUCUUCUUAGUCCCUAUUUCAGCAUGCCAGGAGCAAGAUCAGGAUUUGAAACUCAGCAGUAUGGAGCAGCAUGCAGAUGGAAACAGGCUUUCUACAUGCUUCUUUGUGCGCAUUGAUGCAUCACUCCUCAGAAGAGGCUCGCUCAGGCCACCCUGUCCUUUCAGGACUGAGAGAGAACGCAGUACUGACUCGAUGCAGACGCUAUAUGCACCUAGGGAGCACAACCCAGCAGUGCCACUCCAGUUUUUGAGGGAAAAACUCAACGAUGGAAAGAGGACUCUCCUGUCAGGUGUGGCUGGGCGCACUCUUUGUUUCCCACUGCCCUGCACCACAGCACCAGCUGCCUCCUGCAGCGAUCCAAGCCCUCUCACAGACACAUAUCUCUUGGAGAAUCUGCUCAGGAAUGAUGUGGUUUGACUGAGCGCUGUAGGCUGGGGAGCAGAGAAGUCAUGCACAGCUGAAGAGUUAUUCUGGGGAGAUGGAUGAAGCAACAAGGGAGUGCCCCUUGACUCAUUGCAUGCUGGUUAGGAAUGGAAUACUGAUAUGUUCUGAAAAAAAGAGAAGAAGGAAAUACAAACUUGGGAAUUGUGUGACCCAGCCCAGUGCUUAGAAGUCAAACAUCUGCGUCUGAGCUAAUCCCUGUAUGCUCCAUGUGUAGACAAUGGAAAGAAAUAGAAAUCUUGAGAGAGAAGUUUCUCAUGUUCUAACAGUGGAGAUUAAGAUGGAUCAGAGGGCCCAUGAAUUUCUCUCCACAUACUAGAAAGAAAAUCUAGAAUAGCAAAUUCACAAUAAGCUGCAUGAUGUAGGUUGAAUCCUGUUGAAAACAUUUUUCUUGGUCUGGCUGGGGAUAGUGACAGUAGAGUAUUUGAGCUAAAAAGAAAUACUGAGCUGCGAUGUGACUCUCCUUAGGGUUGAUCUUUUCAGCUCACAACAGGUCCUGUUCUUCAAACCCUGUAUUUACAGUGUGAGGUGAUCUAUUCUCAAGUUACAUUGGCACUUACAAGGACAAAUUACCUCAUUUUUUUCUUUCUUUUGAAGAGAUUUGGCAAGCUCUGUGUUCUUUGGAAAUGAAAACAACAAACAUGCGCAUUAUUCUAAAAAGCCCCUGUAAAGUGUAUGGAACCCCAGGACACAGGUAGGGAAGUACAGCCCAUAGAUCAAUGAGCUACAGACCUCAGAAGAAAUGUGAUGCAAUCAUUUGGUAGGAAUCGAUAACGUAGAGAUCAAUAUUUUUUUGUGUGUUCCUGUCUCUUAAAAAGCUGAGCUAGGAAUUUACUAAUGACGAGUGAGAUUAUUGGCUGGGCAAAGUUGUUCUUGAAGGAUUAAAAUAGUUUGCAAGUCCUGCCAGGCCUGCAAUGGCUGGCAGCAUAACUUCAUUAGUAUAAUAUACUUCUGGGCCAAGGAAAAUUUGUCCAAAUACACUUAAAGUGUUUGGAUGAAAUCAUCUGCCAUCAGAAGUCAUUUAUUUCUUCCUUAGGCUGAGCCUUUCGUCUCUCAUUGGCACACGAGCAGAAGAGACAAAUGCCACUCCUGUGCUGUCAGAUACAAAAUCACAGAAUGGUUGAAGUUGG